CACGUAGGGGGCAAGCGUUGUCCGGAUUUAUUGGGCGUAAAGAGCUCGUAGGCGGUCUGUCGCGUCGGCUGUGAAAACCCGGAGCUCAACUCCGGGCCUGCAGUCGAUACGGGCAGACUGGAGUUCGGCAGGGGAGACUGGAAUUCCUGGUGUAGCGGUGAAAUGCGCAGAUAUCAGGAGGAACACCGGUGGCGAAGGCGGGUCUCUGGGCCGAUACUGACGCUGAGGAGCGAAAGCGUGGGGAGCGAACAGG
rnacentral:rRNA from 1 species